ensembl:lncRNA
GAGCUGUCAAAGUCCUCUCGGUACCUGACCUCACCCUCUGGGCCUGGGGUUUGCUGGUUCAGAUCCUGGAUGCGGACAUGGCACCACUUGGCAAGCCACGCUGGGGCAGGCGUCCCACAUAUAAAGUAGAGGAAGAUGGGCACGGAUGUUAGCUCAGGGCCAGUCUUCCUCAGGAAAAAGAGGAGGAGUGGCAGCAGAUAUUAGCUCAGAGCUAAUCUUCCUCAAAAAAAAAAAAAACUUCCCUGAAGGAGAGAAAGACGUAAGCUUUUAAGUCUAAAAGGCUCAUCAAGUGGCAAGAAGAGAUAUUUUAAAAAGACACAGAGCUAAGCAUAUCCUUAUGAAAUGCUAAGAAUGAAGAAAAAAUUUACAAACUUCCAGAAAGAGAGAAUAGGUCAUCACUUACAAAGAAAAAAGAAUCCUAUUGGCAUUGGACUUCUCAUCACUAUCGCUAAAAACUAAAGACAGUAGAAAGCUGUCACAGACUCUGUAGAGACUAGGACUACUAUUUAGGAAUCUUACACGCAGCCAAGACAUCAUUCAUAAAUGAAAGUAAAAAAAGUAUGUAUAUUUGGACUUAUAAGGACCUUGAAAGUACCAUCUACGCCCUUUUUCUAAGAAAAUCACUCAAGUAUCCUAGUCAACUUAAUAUUUAAAAUUGGAACAAAGCUUGGAAACACAAAAUGUACACAAGACAUGUUUUCCUUCUCUAUGAAGAAACCUUUUAACAAGGUGGUACCAGAUAUCGCCUUUCCGGGUACAAACAGAAACUGUCCUGAACACAACCGUCCCUGGCAGUCUGGGUUUGCAAGUUGUUCAGCACCUAGUGGCCUGAUGAAGUAAAUACAGUUUCAUCAAGUACCCGGAUAAACUUCCAGCCAUUUUGUGAGCUCUGACAGCGUGUACAGGGCAGCAGCCUGACAUCCUUGAUAUUAUAAGAGUAGGACACUGCAAACCUUCCAGACUCAUAUACAACUUUAUAGAUUCAGCUCACUAUCCAUUCAUUCUCCAAGGAUGUGGGAAGAUCCCAUACUUUGUACCUAACUAAUCACAAGAGAAGCAUAGAUUUGUUACAAGGCUACACUUGCAAAGUAUUGAGAAAUAGAGACUGCAUUUGGCCAGACUAACCUGAAUUGAAAACAAGCUUAUAUGCUAAGAGAAAACUGUAAAUGUGCCUUAUAAACAGGAAGAGUGUCUUCAAAUGCUCACAAGAUUGGAAUGUGGAAGAUGGAUUAUAUUUAUCCUGUAUGGUUCCAGGAGAUAGGCCUAAAACUGAUGAGAAGUCACCUCAAUCAGAUUGUAAUUCAAAACAAGAAAUAAUUUUCUACCAAUGAGAGCUAUUCAACAACAUAAUGAGAUUCCUGGAGAAGAGAUGAGCUCCCCAGCAAUGGAAGUAUUCAAAACGAACUUGGACGAUCAUCUGUCAGGCAGAUGACAGAAAGCAUUCCUGUAACCGGAUGGCAGACUAGAGACAAGGAGAUUGAUUGUAUUACCUCAAAGGCCCUUUCCAAGAGUCUAUCAUUCUAAACAAAACAAGCAAAGAAACAAACAAAAGCCACUAACAGAUAACUAAAGAGUCCUCUCCCUGCUUCUUAUUUUUAAGCUCCAAGCAGGCAGUACAACUUAGUGAGUUUGAUACCACUUUCCACUUGAGUAAAUGUGGAC